rnacentral:rRNA from 1 species
GAUGAACGCUAGCUACAGGCUUAACACAUGCAAGUCGAGGGACCGGCGCACGGGUGAGUAACACGUAUCCAACCUGCCCUUUACUCGGGGAUAGCCUUUCGAAAGAAAGAUUAAUACCCGAUAUAAAGGAUGGGGAUGCGUUCCAUUAGGUUGUUGGUGAGGUAAUGGCCCACCAAGCCUUCGAUGGAUAGGGGUUCUGAGAGGAAGGACCCCCGCAUUGGAACUGGGACACGGUCCAAACUCGUACGAGAGGCAGCAGUGAGGAAUAUUGGUAAAUAAGCGUUAGCCUGAACCAGCCAAGUAGCGUGAAGGAUGUAGGCUUAUUAGUCGUAAUCUUCUUUUAUAUAAGAAUAUGUAUUAUAUGAAUAAGGAACGGCUAACUCCGUGCCAGCAGCCGCGGUAAUUC